rnacentral:tRNA from 3 species
GGAGAGGUGCCGGAGCGGUCGAACGGGGCGGUCUCGAAAACCGUUGUGGGUUUGCGCCCACCCAGGGUUCGAAUCCCUGUCUCUCCG